ensembl:lncRNA
AUCUGAGUUUUUGUUGUUAGAAUUUGUGGAGAAUGAUGCCUCUCUGGUGGCAUUAGGAAAGGCAGUAGACUCACUAACUGCUCACUUACAAGAAAAAGGGUGGACUGUAAACCUACAAAAAGUGCAAGGACCAGGUUUAUUGGUAAAAUUCCUGGGUAUAAUUUGGUCAGUGCAAUAACAGACAAAGUUCAGGCAUUCCCAGUCCCUGCCGUGCCGUGGCAGCUGCAGGAAUUUUGGGGUAUAUAGAGAUACUGAUAUUCCUUUAUAUCCAACCUAGUGCAGCUGCUGAGGCCUUUGUAUUGGCUCACAAAGAAAGGCCAAAAACGGGACUGAAGAAGAACAGAAGAAGAGGCAUUCCAGGAAGCCAACUUAGCUGCUAAACAGGCCCAGGCACUGGGUAAUAUUCGAUCCUACCCUUACAGCUAAACUAGAUGCAUGCAACUCAAGAUGGGUUUGGCUAGCAUCUAUGGCAGUGCCAAAAUUCUGUUUGAACCCCAGUUGGGUUCUGGUCUUAAGUUUGGCACAGAGCAGAGGAAAGGCAUCAUGUGUCAGCCACACGGGUACGGUGUUGAAGUGGAAAAAAGCCUGCAGACCCUGGGAAAACCAUUGGGGGAGAGAGGAGAAGUGCCCUUUGAAGCAUUUGAUGCCCUGCUGGCAUCCAACACCAGCAUGGUCCUUUUCUCUCCUUUUCAGCCUUUUGCCAUCUCUCAGUGGUUGAUGAUGACAUUGGCGCUCUUUACCCAAAUGACUGGGUGAAUAUUGCUUUUGUGCCUCAGGGGAAACCCAGAGGUGCAGGUGGAGUUGAAUGGGAUCCAGCUUCCCAGCUGAGCUCCAUGCCAGAAGCCCCAGCAACUCCUAUGGGCCCUGAGAGACGGAAAGAGGCACUGGGAAAAGGAAAAUAUCCGCAGAGGCUGUCCCAUAUCCUAAAGAAAAUCAUGAAGGAGAAGGCAGCACAUGUGCUGUCAGAGCCCCGGGAAGCCCAACACAACAGGAUCUAUGAUCCUUUUCUGAAGAAUCCAGGUGUGGAUGGUGAAGGACGUGCAAAAGCCGAGCAAAUUAAAGCUACACAGAAGUACUACCUGGAACUUGCUGCAGCUGUCCCGGUUUCCCUAUUGCUAGGGAUGAUUCUGUGCUGUCUACUUAUCUGGCGAUGGAGGCAGAGAAACCAGCGCCUCGCUGCAGCUGAUGAAGCCCGGGAUGAUAGCAGCAGCUCCAGUUCAGAGUCAGAUGAACAGCCUGCCCACCUCGAGGGGCCCAAAAGACAGACAUGGUGGCAACCACCUGUGUGGGGACGACCUGCCCACCUGCUGCAGGACACCACCAGAGCAGCCCCUGCCAGGCUGGACAGCAGCCAGGCUCAGCUGCCCCCACCUCGGCCCCCGCGGCCCACCGGCCUGGGCUCCACAUCCCGGGGGAUGCGCAACAGGCCCAGCAGCCCCCAGACCCACCGGGCAUCAGCACAGCCCCCCCGUCCCCUCCACCAUCCUUCAGGGGACGGAAGGAACCUGCCCGGGGUAGAGGCUCGCAGUCAUUGGCCAGCACUGAAACAACGGCUCCCCAGCAGAUGAGCGACAGGCCCAGCAGCCCCCGGCCCCCCCGGGCAUCAACACCACCCCCCCGUCCCCCUCCACCAUCCUUCAGGGGACGGAAGGAACCUGCCCGGGGUGGAGGCUUGCGGUCAUCGGCCGGCACUGAAACAACGGCUCCCCGGCAGAUGAGCAACAGGCCCAGCAGCCCCCGGCCACCAACGCCGCCCCCCCGACCUCUGCCUCCUCCUCCUCCACCAUCCUUCAGGGGACGGGAGCGGUCCCCUCAGGGUGUCGGCUCGGGGGCAUCGUCCAGCACCCAGACAACCGCUGCCUCAGGGAAGCCUGAGAGGCCCAGCAGCCCUCAGCCCCUCCCAGCACCACCUCUGCCUUCCCCCUCCCCUCCACCAUCCAUCAGGGGAGGGAAGCAAUCCCCGCAGAGUGCAGACUUGGGGAAAAUGUCCAACAGACGGACAACCACUGCCUGGGGGAAGCGCGACCGCUCCAGCAGCCCCCCAGCUCCCCAGGCACCGUCACCACCCUCCCAUUCCCCUCCACGAUCCUUCAGGGAACGGGAGUGGCGCCCCCAACCCCCUCCACUGCCCUCUCCAUCCCCUCCACCAUCCUUCAAGGGACAGCAGCGGCCCCACCAGCAUGACAGACCUGGCCGCCCCCAGGCUCCCCAAAUGCCCUCCCCCACCCCUCCACCAUCCAGCAGGAGGUGGGAGCAGCCCCCCCAGGGUGUUGGCUCACAGGAACUGUCCAAGAGACCGACCACUGCUGCCUGGGGAAAGCGUGACCGGCCCAGCAGCCCACAGCCCCCCCGGGCACCAUCCUCCUACUCCCCUCCACCAUCCUUCAGGAGGUGGGAGUGGCCCCCCCAGAGUGUCAGCACAGGGGCAUCUUCAGACACCUGGAAAACCACUGCCAGGGGAAAACAGACCAGGCCCAGCAGCCCCCAGUACCGCCCAGCACCACCUCUGUCCUCUCGCUCCUCUCCACCAUCCAGCAGGAGGUGGGAGCAGCCCCCCCAGGGUGUUGGCUCGCAGGAACUGUCCAAGAGACCGACCACUGCUGCCUGGGGAAAGCGUGACCGGCCCAGCAGCCCACAGCCCCCCCGGGCACCAUCCUCCUACUCCCCUCCACCAUCCUUCAGGAGGUGGGAGUGGCCCCCCCAGAGUGUCAGCACAGGGGCAUCGUCAGACACCUGGAAAACCACUGCCAGGGGAAAACAGACCAGGCCCAGCAGCCCCCAGUACCGCCCAGCACCACCUCUGUCCUCUCGCUCCUCUCCACCAUCCAGCAGGAGGUGGGAGCACUCCCAGCGUGCGGGUUUGGGGACACCAUCUGACAUCCACAGAAGCACUGCUGGCAUCAACCGGAGUUUUCCAGGCUCCGCUGUACCAAUAAAUAGAAAGUAGUGCGUUUGGGGCACCACCUGAUAUCCACAGAACCACUGCUGGCAUCAACCCGAGUUUUCCAGGCUCCACUCUACCAAUAAAUAGAAAAUAGUAG